AGAGGUACAUCAUGUAGUCUG
rnacentral:miRNA from 1 species